rnacentral:rRNA from 1 species
GAUGAACGCUGGCGGCGUGCCUAAUACAUGCAAGUCGAGCGAACGGACGAGAAGCUUGCUUCUCUGAUGUUAGCGGCGGACGGGUGAGUAACACGUGGAUAACCUACCUAUAAGACUGGGAUAACUUCGGGAAACCGGAGCUAAUACCGGAUAAUAUUUUGAACCGCAUGGUUCAAAAGUGAAAGACGGUCUUGCUGUCACUUAUAGAUGGAUCCGCGCUGCAUUAGCUAGUUGGUAAGGUAACGGCUUACCAAGGCAACGAUGCAUAGCCGACCUGAGGGGGUGAUCGGCCACACUGGAACUGAGACACGGUCCAGACUCCUACGGGAGGCAGCAGUAGGGAAUCUUCCGCAAUGGGCGAAAGCCUGACGAAGCAACGCCGCGUGAGUGAUGAAGGUCUUCGGAUCGUAAAACUCUGUUAUUAGGGAAGAACAUAUGUGUAAGUAACUGUGCACAUCUUGACGGUACCUAAUCAGAAAGCCACGGCUAACUACGUG